rnacentral:tRNA from 1 species
GCCUGGCUGGCUGAGUUGGUAUAGCAUGUGACUCUUGAUCUCAGGGUUGUGAGUUCGAGCCCCAUGUUGGCA